rnacentral:rRNA from 1 species
AUUGAACGCUGGCGGCAGGCUUAACACAUGCAAGUCGAGCGGAGAUGAGGUGCUUGCACCUUAUCUUAGCGGCGGACGGGUGAGUAAUGCUUAGGAAUCUGCCUAUUAGUGGGGGACAACAUUCCGAAAGGAAUGCUAAUACCGCAUACGUCCUACGGGAGAAAGCAGGGGAUCUUCGGACCUUGCGCUAAUAGAUGAGCCUAAGUCGGAUUAGCUAGUUGGUGGGGUAAAGGCCUACCAAGGCGACGAUCUGUAGCGGGUCUGAGAGGAUGAUCCGCCACACUGGGACUGAGACACGGCCCAUACGCCUACGGGAGGCAGCAGUGGGGAAUAUUGGACAAGGGGGGAAACCCUGAUCCAGCCAUGCCGCGUGUGUGAAGAAGGCCUUAUGGUUGUAAAGCACUUUAAGCGAGGAGGAGGCUACUGAGACUAAUACUCUUGGAUAGUGGACGUUACUCGCAGAAUAAGCACCGGCUAACUCUGUGCCAGCCGCCGCCGUAAUAC